rnacentral:rRNA from 1 species
AUUGAACGCUGGCGGCAGGCCUAACACAUGCAAGUCGAACGGUAACAGGAAGAAGCUUGCUUCUUUGCUGACGAGUGGCGGACGGGUGAGAAAUGUCUGGGAAACUGCCUGAUGGAGGGGGAUAACUACUGGAAACGGUAGCAAAUACCGCAUAACGUCGCAAGACCAAAGAGGGGGACCUUCGGGCCGCUUGCCAUCGGAUGUGCCCAGAUGGGAUUAGCUAGUAGGUGGGGUAACGGCUCACCUAGGCGACGAUCCCUAGCUGGUCUGAGAGGAUGACCAGCCACACUGGAACUGAGACACGGUCCAGACUCCUACGGGAGGCAGCAGUGGGGAAUAUUGCACAAUGGGCGCAAGCCUGAUGCAGCCAUGCCGCGUGUAUGAAGAAGGCCUUCGGGUUGUAAAGUACUUUCAGCGGGGAGGAAGGGAGUAAAGUUAAUACCUUUGCUCAUUGACGUUACCCGCAGAAGAAGCACCGGCUAACUCCGUG